rnacentral:lncRNA from 1 species
GGGGCUAAAGGUAUGGGGAGGUAGGAUUGUACUAAAAAUAUACUAUAUUUGGUGACUCGUCAAACUCAUGCAUUAUACUAAAAAGCAAAAUAAACAACUAAAAGGAAAUAACAAUAAAUAAACUAUCUAAAAACAACAAAGAAAAAAAAACGAUAAAGAAAAAACGAGAAAAACAAUAAAGAAAAGAUGAUAGAGUCUCCUCCCACACUUAAAUCAAACAUUGUCCCCAAUGUUUCGAAAUAAGAAAAG